rnacentral:rRNA from 1 species
CGCAUCUGUGCAUGCAGCAUAUCAAUAAGCGGAGGAAAAGAAACUAACAAGGAUUCCCCUAGUAACGGCGAGUGAAGCGGGAAGAGCUCAAAUUUGAAAUCUUAAAGGGUUUCCCUUUACGAAUUGUAGUUUAAAGAAGUGUUUUCUGUUGAGGUUUUGGUAAAAGUUCUUUGGAAUAGGACAUCAUAGAGGGUGAGAAUCCCGUAUUUGACCUUUACUUUCAACUUUGUGAUACACUUUCAAAGAGUCGGAUUGUUUGGGAAUGCAGUCCAAAAUGGGUGGUAAAUUUCAUCUAAAGCUAAAUAUUGGCGAGAGACCGAUAGCGAACAAGUACCGUGAGGGAAAGAUGAAAAGAACUUUGAAAAGAGAGUUAAACAGUACGUGAAAUUGUCAAAAGGGAAGCGUUUGACACCAGUGUUGUUUUUCUGAAAAUCAAUUAAAGAACUGUUUAUGCUAAGUUGUUUAGACUUUAUCAGCUAUCUGUUUAGUUUUGAGCUUUUCUUUAAUGCACUUUUCAGUUAACAAGUCAACAUCAAUUUCUUUUGCUGUAAAAAAGCUUGAGGAAGGUGGCUUGAGAUUCGUCUUAAGUGUUUAUAGCCUCUUGCCUAUGCAGUCGGAGAGAUUGAGGUCUGCAGCGUAGAUCCUUCGGGGCUAAAUGCAUUUGUGCUAAGUUAUAGCAUUUUAUAGACAACUUGUUGACUAUGAUUUGUCUUGUAGCUUACUCGCUUAUGUUAUUGUACCUACGCUUAGGAUGUUGAGUCGUAGAGCACGCAG